CGCAGAUUUCUCCGCCCCGCCGCCGCGCGCGACUCCUCCCUUCCCCAUCCUGCGCUCGCUUCCUCCACAUCGCGCGCUCCAUGUGCGGGCCCGACGCCGACCGCUCGCUUCCUUCCCCAAUCGCGCGCGCCAGGUGCGGGCCCACCGCCGGCAGCUCUCGCAUCCUCGCGCCGCUUCUCCUCCAACCCUCUCCCUCCCGGCGCUUCUCCUCCACACCCCCCCUCCGGCGCUUCUCCUCCCCCUUCCCCUCCCCCCUCCCCUGGCGCUGCUCCGUUUGCUAAAUAUCGAUGAUAAAUAUUUAGCUUUCUCCUGAUUCCAUUCCUCCUCUUCAUGCUAAAUAUCGAUGCUUUCUCCCGAUGCUCUGCGAGUAUCAAGUAUGCAGGCUUUCAAUCCCGGCGCGGCGCUCACCACGAUAUCUUAUCAUUAUCCAGUACUCAUGCGGAUUAUCAGGGCUUUCAUCAAUUUCCCGUCCAAUUCAUCUGGUGGCUCAUAUGGAUUAUCCGGGCAUUGAUUUGAUCUUUCGAUUCAGAAAACAUUGGUCGAUCUUGGCUGGGAAUGAGAUCUAUAUAGGGCAUAUAUGCAGGGUAAACAACUAAUUUGUCCUCCGUCAACAUGAUUUCAUUUGCAGCUCCUGACAUCAGGCGAUUGGUGUCUUCCUGGUGUUUAUCUUUCCUACUCCCAUCAGUAUUUGGAUGAGGUACAUUUUCUCUCCCCUUAUUCUCCUACGUUGAGUUCAUUGGCUCGAUCCCAAAUUUAUCAGCUUUUGGUUAAGCUGAUGUCUAUACUGUACUCUCUUUUUUUUUCUCCCCUUACAUCAAAUAGCGAAGCUUUAGGUAUUCUUCAGUCUGCCCCAUUGGCUGGAAACUAUAUUGGGCAUAUUACAGGGUUCAUGGUUAAUUUGUCCUUCGGCUACAUGAUUUGAUGGUAGCUUCAACAUUAGCCGAUUGCAUGGUGUCUUCUUUGUGUUUACCGUUCUUAAUCCCAUCAGUUUUCAAGUUUUUGAUCAGGUGCAUGUUUUCUUCCGUUCUCCAAUGCUGAGUUUAUUUUCUCGAUCCCCAAAUUGGAACAUAGCUAUUAGGUGAGUUGAUGAUUGUACUCAUUUUUUUCUGCCUUUUUGUAAAAUAGCAUGCAUGUGUUCUUCUGAUUGCCCCAUUUUUGGACAUAUAACUUGAUAAUAUCGCUAUGUUUUAUCUUUUGUAAUGUCACUUACAUGAUCGAUCUGACCCUAAUUGACGAGGUAAAUUUUGAUUAGACAUUUCUACCUUUGUAUUCAAUUCUGUUCUGAUUCCUGAAGAGAAUUUUACGUUUCCAAGAAACGAUUGCUGACGAUAACUUAGUUUUCCUCUCCAUGAGAGUGAUACGGAAAAUUUCAAGGCUGCACUCCUUUUCUGCUUAUCAAAUAAUUUUCUAUCAUGCAGAAAAAAAUUCCACAGGUGAGAAUUCGAUCCAGUUUGCAGCAUAGCGCAAUGAAUAAUAUGUGAUUUUACCCCUUUUCAGACCUUAUAUAUGUCAGCUACUAUAAAUCAACUUCAUGAUUUCAUAAGGAGAAAAGACACGUCGAUAACCAAAGGGCGCGGCUGCGCAUACAAAGGCGGAGAGAAGGAACGAUGGUGGCUCAAAAAGAAAGAGCGUCGGUGGCAGUGGUGCGUGGAGCGACACUAAAGUUAGUGGUUGCUGAUGGUCUCACACAAUCCCUAAUCGAAAUAUUUAUUUUUUUUCACUUAGUAUUGCUGAUCCGUGGGCCACCAGCCAAUCAUAAAGAAAAAUGUUGAGAUAAAAGGUGGAGUAUCUUCCCCUUCCUUCCCUUUUUGACUCGAAAAAAAAAAGCGUCGGUGGCGGCCGUGCGUGUAACAACACUAAAGUUAGUGGUUGCUGGUGGUCUGACACAAUCCCUAAUCAAGUUUGAUAAUAAUAAUAAUUUAUUUCCUCUUAUUAGUAUUGCUGAUGCGUGGGCCACCAAUCAAUCGUAAAGAAAAAAAAUGUUGAGAUAAAAGGUGGGGGUAUCUUCUCCUUCUCUUUUUUUUUGGCUAAAAUAAAAGUGGUUUCUGGUAGUCUGACACAAUCUCUAAUCGAAAUAUUUAUUUUUUUCUCUUAGUAUUGCUGAUACGUGGGCCACCAGCCAAUAAUAAAGAAAAAAAAUGUUAGAGAUAAAAGGCGGAGAGUAUCUUCCCCUUCCUUUUUUUUGGCGUAAAUGAAAGAAAAGAGAAAAUCUCCCGUCGUCUCCUUCCUUGCGCCAAGAAAGACGAGCCGCGGCUCAACACCGGAGGGGAGGGGCGCCGAUCUCCAUCGCCAAGGAGAGCAGAGCAGGGGAGGGGAUCCUGGUUAGCGCUUUUGGCGUGUGAUUGAUUUCUAAACGAAUUUUGGGCCGUGAGGGGAAGUUCAAUCAUGGCAGGGUCUCUUGCCGCCUCAGCAUUCUUCCCAGGUCCAGGCUCAUCUCCUGCAGCAUCAGCUAGAAGCUCCAAGAAUGCUGCUGUUACCGGCGAAUUGCCGGAGAAUUUGAGUGUCUGUGGCAUUGUCGCAAAGCCUAACCCACCUCCUGCAGCCAUGCAAGUAAAGGCACAGGCUCAAACCCUUCCCAAGGUUAAUGGUACGAAGGUUAACCUCAAGACGGUGAAGCCUGACAUGGAGGAAACGGUGCCUCACAGUGCUCCAAAGACGUUCUAUAACCAACUGCCGGAUUGGAGCAUGCUUCUUGCGGCUAUUACAACCAUCUUCCUCGCCGCAGAGAAGCAGUGGACACUGCUUGAUUGGAAGCCGAAGAAACCUGACAUGCUUGUUGACACAUUUGGCUUUGGUAGGAUCAUCCAGGACGGUAUGGUGUUUAGGCAGAACUUCAUGAUUCGGUCCUACGAGAUUGGCGCUGAUCGUACAGCUUCUAUAGAGACAUUGAUGAAUCAUUUACAGGAAACGGCUCUUAACCAUGUAAGGACUGCUGGUCUUCUUGGAGAUGGUUUUGGGGCUACACCGGAGAUGAGCAAACGGAACUUGAUAUGGGUUGUCAGCAAAAUCCAGCUUCUUGUUGAGCAAUACCCCGCAUGGGGAGAUAUGGUUCAAGUUGACACAUGGGUCGCUGCUGCUGGCAAAAAUGGCAUGCGUCGAGACUGGCAUGUUCGUGACUACAACUCUGGCCGAACAAUCUUGAGAGCUACAAGUGUUUGGGUGAUGAUGCACAAGAAAACUAGAAGACUUUCAAAAAUGCCAGAUGAAGUUAGAGCUGAAAUAGGCCCAUAUUUCAAUGACCGUUCAGCUAUAACAGAGGAGCAGAGUGAAAAGUUAGCCUAGACAGGAAAUAAAGUUGGUGAUGAUGCUACAGAGCAAUUCAUAAGAAAGGGGCUCACUCCUAGAUGGGGUGACCUCGAUGUCAAUCAGCAUGUGAACAAUGUUAAAUAUAUUGGGUGGAUCCUUGAGAGUGCUCCAAUUUCAGUACUGGAGAAGCAUGAGCUUGCAAGCAUGACCCUGGAUUACAGGAAGGAGUGUGGCCGAGACAGCGUGCUGCAAUCACUUACCACCGUGUCAGGGGAAUGCACCAGCAUUGGCGCCGACAAGCAGGCUUCUGCCAUCCAGUGCGACCAUCUUGUGAAGGCUGACAUUGUGAAGGCACACACAGAGUGGCGACCAAAGCGAUCGCAUGCAGCAGCUGAGAACGCGUAAACAAACAAACCGACGAAAAUCUGUGGUAGGGAGAAUAUCAAACUUCCCUUGCCUCUGUUGCCCUGAAGCUGAUCUUGAAGUGUGAGUUGUAUUCUGUAAAAAAUUAGUAGUUUCCAUAGUGUGAGGUUGGAGGGGAGGUGUUGGUGCUUGCCUACUGUACCUGCUACAUCUAUUAUUUCUUGAUUCUUUGUUCGCUUUUUUUUUUCUUUUUUGUUUUUAACCCCUGUGGAGAUAAGACAGGUUUUGAAGUGUGGAAGAGGUUGUUUCAAUCGUCUAAUUGAUUCAACUAUUCAGCAAGUAAACUGCUCCAUGGAAAUUUCA